AUUGAACGCUGGCGGCAGGCCUAACACAUGCAAGUCGAACGAGUGGCGGACGGGUGAGUAAUGUCUGGGAAACUGCCUGAUGGAGGGGGAUAACUACUGGAAACGGUAGCUAAUACCGCAUACCAUCAGAUGUGCCCAGAUGGGAUUAGCUUGUUGGUGGGGUAACGGCUCACCAAGGCGACGCUCCCUAGCUGGUCUGAGAGGAUGACCAGCGACGCUGGAACGGAGACACGGUCCAGACUCCUACGGUGGGCAGCGGUGGGGAAUAUUGCACAAUGGGCGCAAGCCUGAUGUAGCCAUGCCGCGUGUAUGAAGAAGGCCGUCAGGUUGUAAAGUACGUUCAGCGGGGAGGCGUUACCCGCAGAAUAAGCACCGGCUAACUCCGUGCCAGCAGCCGCGGUAAUAC
rnacentral:rRNA from 1 species